rnacentral:sRNA from 1 species
UUGUAAAACUGCUACAAUUCAUUCAACAUUUUGCAACAAGUCGUAAAUCGUAAUUAAUUUAACGCGGAUUAUGUAAAAGGAAAAAGGGGAUUUAGUAUAUGCAUAUGUGGUGGAGACAAAAACAAAAUCUGUACAUAAACAUUAGGCCCCUAAUUCCAGAUAAGAAGAUAAAAAAAUCCUGAAAGUUGUAUGAAAGUUCGUUCAUUUAUAUCUCUGAAAGUUGAAAAAUCUUUUCAAAAGAAAAAAAAAAACACUCCAAAAGAAACUAUGUCGACCGAUAGUUCACAAUUUGAAGUUGUUCCCGCUAAUGCCUCUGCUUUAGACAACGACGUUUCCUCUCACAUGUCUAUGUUGUAUCAGGAUAUUGUCCGAAACCCCGAACUUUUCUGGGAGAUGCUCCGGGAUUUCCAUGAAUCUUCGGACAAAAAAUUUAAGUGAGUUAUGCAUGUUCUUUUAGUGUUUUUGGUUUUCUUAAUGAAUUUUAUUG